GAAAUUGUCAUUCUGUGCCACUGUUCGGCAUAAAUGGACUAAUCUUCAGUUUGAAAAUGAGGAGAGCUUGACUGUUAAAGAAUAGGUCAUUUGGCUUCUGGCGGCAGCAGAAGAUGCUGUAAUAUUAGCUGUAAGAACUUGUGCAUUCUUGAUCGAUGAGAGCAAAUUGUUUGAGGACUUCUGGGUAAUGAUAAAAGGAAAGGGAACCUGCUCUUUAAGAAUCUCAAGCAACUACAGGGAAGGUGUGAAAACAGAUUUGUUUGUUCAGGA
rnacentral:lncRNA from 1 species